UAGAAAUUUAGAUAGAGAAACUACACCAAAUUUUAGAGAGGGAAACUACCUAAAGAAUUUUAGCGAGAGAAACUAUCUCAACAUUUUUAGAGAUAAAACUAUAUUAAACUUUAAAUUUGAUAUAGUUUCUCUCCAAAUAUUUUGAGAUAGUUUCUCUCUCCAAAACUUUGAAAUUUCAAAUAGUUGACAAUUACUCUUUCUAAAAUUUUUG
rnacentral:lncRNA from 1 species